rnacentral:lncRNA from 1 species
AAAUCAACUGACUGUAUAAUAAUAAAUGGGGUUGUCACAUACUAUAACAAAUAAGCUACACGUUUUCCCAGAGAUAAAAGAAAACGAAAAUUACAGUGACAGAGGCUUUAGGACAAUGAAACAGUAUACGGCAUUGAAGUCUGCAUUGUUUGUUCCAAAAGACCUCUUACUGCAAUAAUAUUUUCUUGUUUUAAAUUAAUUUCCCAUGAAGUUAUGGUUUUUUUUUUUUCCAUUCAUGAACCAAGCAACAGCAUAAAAAUGAAUCCAAAAGCAGAAGCUAAUAAUAGAAAAAAGAAAAUAAAUAAAAAACCAAACUACUCGUUGCUUUUUACCAACUUUAUGGGACCAAAAACUAAAAAAAGAGAUUGAGCCGAACCCGCCAAUAUCACAGCCGUCGCCACCGCCACCGUCACCGGUUCCUUCUACGGUUACUCCACGCUUUAUACGAGCUUCCAAAACCCAUCGUUAUAGUAGCUGCCAUUUUCGUUGCAGAUGAAUCCACAGCAAUCACCAUUAUUGAACACUGAGAGAGACCAAAAUUGUCAAAAAAAGAAUAAAGUAACAUAAAUCUGAAAAUGACUUUGGUGUCUACUCUGUGUUCUUUAUAUUUACCUUGACAAAGCUUACCUUGAUGGGUUUGUGGGUUUUAUAUUUUUUUCCCCCUUUUGUCCUUAUCUUAGAAAGAAAAAGAAAACAUUAUUACAAUGAAGAACAAGAACAAGAAGAGGAAGUAGAAACUGGAGAUAUUCUUGUCUUAAAGCACAUAUUAAUGAAAACAAGAAGUAAAAAAUAUGGGGAAAUAAAUAAAGGGAUUAUUGCUUU